rnacentral:lncRNA from 1 species
CCUGAAGGCAGACUUAGUUACAAAGGAUAUACAUGUGGAUCUAUCCCAUAUGGGGAUAAUCCCAGUGUCCUCUGUUGGCUAGAGCACAUCUAGCUAAAAGCUGCUCCAACGAUGGAGGAAGUCAAAGAGAGUGGCAGCAUGCCUUUGUCCUUUUGUUACCUGGACAGGUAAGGUCACGCCCACCUCUAGUCACAUGCAAGAGGAAGGAUGCUCCAGGCCAGGAGGAAACAGGAAGUUUUCAACUGGCUGGCUCAAACAUCCCCUCGCAUGUCCACUCUAGGAAAACAAGGAAUGUUGUACUUGACUGCUACUUACAUAUCACAUCCCACACUCUGUGCUAGACUCGAUCCCUUGCUAUUGCUCUGCAUUUUCUGGGUGCCCCUCUCCGCUAUGUUGCCAGGCCUCUUUCUUGCUAGGUCCUUUAAAAGAGCAUUGGACAAAUUCAUGGAGGCAGGAAUGUUUCUAAAUGCCAGUUGCUGGAAACCAGGGGAGGGGAGAAGGUUCUGGUGUCUGGGUCGUGCUUGUGGGCUUCCCAUUCUGGACAUGUGCUUGGCCAUGGGGAGGACAGGAUGUUGGCCACAUGGGCCACUGGCCUGAUCCGGCAGGUUCUGCUUACGUUCUUGACAUAGGAAUCUGCCUUUUACCAAGUCUGACCGUUGGUCCAUCUGUUGGUGGCAAGGAAGAAGUGGGUAUGUCAAAGGAGAAUUCCUGGAUUGCAAGAUCAAAGUUUGGAGCAAGUCCCCUUUGGUGGGAGAACCCCGGCAAAGAUUUAAAAUCACAAAGCAUGCAGCAAGGUAAAGUGUUGAAAUAUCGGCUGUUAGACCUUUAAGAGAUGCCCCUGUGAGUUCCUUCCAAAGUUCCCCUCUUCCACAGCAUAGAAAAACACCACACAUUUAGUGAGUUAAUAAUUGUUUACUUACAAACUCUCCAAAGGUCUGAUUCAUGUGCUUUCCCAUUGGUCAUAAAACACAGGCAGUGAAAUUUGGUUUAGUUGCAGUGGUGAAAGUUUCUAAAUUAUCAGCAUGAUAAAAGCUUGUUAUAGGCAUGUGGUCUAAGCCUGAAGCAACCCACCCACCCUCCUGAAACUGGCAUUCAGGAUUGGGGGGAACUGUAGUUUCAGAGCUACAAUUCCCAGCAUCCUGAUUCAACUACAGCUCCCACGGUUCUUUUGGGGGUGGGGAGUCGUGCACCAAAUGAGUCUGCUCCCCCCCCCCAUACUCUCCAGGUGGAGGAUCUGCUAGGCUCUCCCUGGCCUCUCCUGCUCCUCCUGCCUGUUAAAGGGAAAACAUUUUGGGGGGAGAGCCUACUCAACAGCCCAGCUCGUCAGGGUGCAAGUCCCCCGCAGGUCCAUGAGGUCAGUAAAAGAAGGAAGUUCCAGCCAAGUAAUUUGGAGCAAAACAGGAGUCAGUAGACCAGGGGUCAGCAAACCUUUUCAGCAGGGUGCUGGUCCACUGUUCCUCAGACCUUGUGGGGGGCCGGACUAUAUUUUGAAAAAUAAAAAUGAACCAAUUUCUAUGCCCCACAAAUAACCCAGAUAUGCAUUUUAAAUAAAAGGACACAUUCUACUCAUGUAAAAACACACUGAUUCCUGGAACGUCCAUGGGCCGGAUUUAGAAGGUGAUUGGGCCUGAUCCGGCCCCCAGGCCUUAGUUUGCCUACCCAUGCAGUAGACCAUGAUCUUUAUUGUUGCGCAACUAGUCCCCAUGGGAGUAAGGAACCCUGAGCAUGGAGGGACAUCCUCUUUUAAACCUUCCCUCUUUCCCCCAGAAUACACUUUGAGGGGCAUCAUUGAUACAUCAUUACUACAUCACUAGCAUGUCACAAAUGCUAGUAUACCUGUAUACAAGGGUAUACAGAGGACGGGAUGGUUGGACAGUGUUUUCGAAGCUACCAGCAUGAGUUUGACCAAACUGCGGGAGGCAGUGGAAGACGGGAGGGCCUGGCGUGCUCUGGUCCAGGGGGUCACGAAGAGGCGGACACGGCUAAACGACAACAACAACAACAACAUACAAGGGUUAUACCAGUUCAACAUGAGGUCCCCUUAUCAGACACCUUUCUCAACCUCUUAAGUCCCCAUCACUGAAAGGACAAUGAAACUCUUGACAUCUCCUUGCCCUCAGGACUUGGCUGGAGAUGGGCUUUCAGAACACCUGACUUGCUCAACUGUCUAUUGUUGCCCCCUUGGUCACUUCCUGGGUGGGGGGCCCUGCCUGUGCUCUCAUGCUUGGGGAAUUAUGGCGGGAUGCCCUGUUCCUGCUGCCUACAGUGACUUCCCGCUUCUUGGUUCAUGGACGGAGGUGGAGCCCAAAUUCACCUUUCUUUAAGGACCAAAUGGCGUUGGAAUGAGGAGAGUCGGUUAAAAUAUGGAUUUUCUACAAAUUUAUAAAGCUAGGUAUCUUCCCUGAGCUGUCAAGUUGAAAGGAUACAUUCAGGCAUAAUAUUUGUAACAUCGUAACAACUUUAAAGCUGUGGGGGGGGCUGUAAUUUUCGUAACAAGAGCUACAAUUCCCAGCACCCUGAUUCCACUACAGCUCCCGCGGUUCUUUUGGGGGGUGGGAGUCACGUGCUCCAGGUGAGUCUGCUCCCCCCGCCUCCUCUCCAGGUGGAGGAUCUGCGAGGCUCUUCCGAGAGUGCGGAGGAGGAAUCCCAGCCAGGUGGGCGGGGCAGAAAUAUAUUAUUCUUAUUCUUAUUAUUAUUAUUAUUAUUAAUCAAUCAACCAUUACAACUAUUCUUCUUCUUUUCCCUGGCCUCUCCUGCAUGUCUACUGGGAAUUGGAGGAUCCAGGCAUUUUGUCUCCCGACGGCUUACAAACUCAAUUAACAGCCAAACCAAACCUGCCCUUAUUCUGUCUUCCCGGCCCAAUGGAGACGCAGAGCAGGCGGGCGCUCGAGCCCGAUGCCCAAUCGAAGCCAAAGACGCCCCAGGCGAGGCGGCCAAUAGCGAGCCGGGCCUAUCAGCGGAGGCGACCGCCGUUUGUUUACGGCAAGGGCCCCGCCCCGAGGAACCUCACCCAACCGCUUGUCCGCGCGUGGCCAAUGGCGAGAGAGGGAGGGCGGGCUCCCCCGCCACAGGGAGCCAAUGCGGCGGCGAGGAGGCGGUCCGGCCAAGAGGUUCUGGAGGAGGGCGGGGCCUCUGCGGCGGGAGGCGGGACUGGAG